rnacentral:pre_miRNA from 1 species
UUGGUACUCCCUCCGUCCGGAAAUACUUGUCAUCAAGAUGAAUAAAAUGAGAUGUAUCUAGAUGUAUUUUAGUUCUAGAUACAUCCCUUUUUGUCCAUUUUGAUGACAAGUAUUUUCGGACGGAGGGAGUAUUUC